rnacentral:rRNA from 1 species
UUAAGAGUUUGAUCCUGGCUCAGGAUGAAUGCUAGCAGUGCGCCUGAGAUAUGCAAGUCGAGCGUUGCCUUGAUGGAGCUUGCUCCAGAUGGGAAGCGGCGGACGGCUGAGUAAUACGCAGGAACUUGCCCCUAGGUAGGAAAUAGCUCACCGAAAGGUGGGGUAAUGCCCUAUAGUCCCCGACGUAAGUUGGGGUAAAGGCUUCGGCCGCCAAGGGAUAGUCCUGUGUCCUAUCAGGUAGUUGGUAUGGGUAACGGCCUACCAAGCCUAUGACGGGUAGCUGGCCUCAUGAGGGUGGUCAGCCAGAGGGGGACUGAGACACGGCCCCCACUCCUACGGGAGGCAGCAAUCAGGA